GACGAACGCUGGCGGCGUGCUUAACACAUGCAAGUCGAACGGAAAGGCCCUGCUUUUGUGGGGUGCUCUAGGUGCGAACGGGUGAGUAACACGUGAGUAACCUGCCCUUGACUUUGGGAUAACUUCAUGAAACUGGGGCUAAUACCGGAUAGGAUCUCCUGCUGCUGGGUGGGGGUUGGAAAGUUUCGGUGGUUGGGGGUGGACUCGCGGCUUAUCAGGUUGUUGGUGGGGUAGUGGAUUACCAAGGCUUGGACGCGUGGCCGGGCUGAGCGGGGGACCGGCUACACCGGGAUUGAAAUACGACCCAGACUCCUACGGGACGCAGCAGUGCGGAAUAUUGCACAAUGCGCGGAACCCUGAUGCAGUAAAGCAGUGUGCGGGAUGACGGCAAUCGGGUUGUAAACCGCUUCCGCCUGUCACGAAGUGUGAGUGACGGUAACGGGUAAAGAAGCACCGGCUAACUACGUG
rnacentral:rRNA from 1 species